AUACGUAGGUGGCAAGCGUUGUCCGGAAUUACUGGGUGUAAAGGGAGCGUAGGCGGGCAGGCAAGUCAGGCGUUAAAUCCAUCGGCUCAACCGGUGGCUGCGCUUGAAACUGCAGGUCUUGAGUGAAGUAGAGGCAGGCGGAAUUCCUAGUGUAGCGGUGAAAUGCGUAGAUAUUAGGAGGAACACCAGUGGCGAAGGCGGCCUGCUGGGCUUUAACUGACGCUGAGGCUCGAAAGCGUGGGUAGC
rnacentral:rRNA from 1 species